CAGUAGAAAACGGAUGAACACACCUAGAUUUCUUCCCGCGUGAAUCCAGUUGAUACAGAUAAGCUGAUUCUAAAACCUACAAGAAUGGCAAAGAAACAAGAAGAGCUUAAACUGCAAUCAUCAACAGAGAAGCCUUCUGCAACCAAAGUGAAGACUGAAGCCCUAGGCUAUGGCAGAAGUUGGGCGCCUGAAGUACACAUGGAAAUAUGCCAACUGAACAUUGGACUAUCACUAACCUGGAUUCUUCCAUCUUUUGAAGUGGAAACUGUCCUAACCCCAUAACCUCGACAUCACUAGACAGGGUCUGGCUUUGUUGCCCUGGUCUUGAACUCCUG
rnacentral:lncRNA from 1 species